UACGUAGGGUGCGAGCGUUAACCGGAAUUACUGGGCGUAAAGCGUGCGCAGGCGGUCUGUUAAGACCGAUGUGAAAUCCCCGGGCUUAACCUGGGAACUGCAUUGGUGACUGGCAGGCUUUGAGUGUGGCAGGAGGGGGUAGAAUUCCACGUGUAGCAGUGAAAUGCGUAGAGAUGUGGAGGAAUACCGAUGGCGAAGGCAGCCCCCUGGGCCAACCACUGACGCUCAUGCACGAAAGCGUGGGGAGCAAACAGG
rnacentral:rRNA from 1 species